rnacentral:rRNA from 1 species
UACGUAGGGUGCAAGCGUUAAUCGGAAUUACUGGGCGUAAAGCGUGCGCAGGCGGUGAUGUAAGACAGAUGUGAAAUCCCCGGGCUCAACUUGGGAACUGCAUUUGUGACUGCAUCGCUGGAGUGCGGGCAGAGGGGGAUGGAAUUCCGCGUGUAGCAGUGAAAUGCGUAGAUAUGCGGAGGAACACCGAUGGCGAAGGCAAUCCCCUGGGCCUGCACUGACGCUCAUGCACGAAAGCGUGGGAGCAAACAGG